CUAACGAUUAACGACUCAUUAUAGACCGGGCAUUACUAAAAUUGUGGUUACUGGGCUAAAUUCAUGAAAUGUAUUGGUGGCUCAGAGACGCACGAAUUGGUUCAAAAUAUUUUAGAAAGAUUCAUGACUAAUCAGUUGGCUACAUUUUUCAACAUUCAAGGCAAAAACUUAAAAAAAAAAGAUGACACGCAGCCGAAAAUAGCGUUUACAAAUACUAAUUUAUUCAAAUGUAUAAUGAGUAAGUUUUUAUGAUAAUGAUGUCAAUUAUAUAUAGUAUAAGUGUGUACAAUUUAAUUUAUAAUCAAUUACAACUUUUAGAAGCUGCUCAUCUUCAUCGUAGUAAUGUUGACGAGAAUAAUGUGCAACAUAAAAGUAUUGCACCUUGGUUAGCUCAAGCAAAUUUACGUUUAUCCAGAGAAAAGUAAUAAUACUAAUUUUAUAUAAAAGCUGUAUUGU